UGGGACUUAGAUACCCCACUAUGCUUCGCCCUAAACAUUGAUAGCUUUAUACAACCCCUAUCCGCCUGGAAACUACGAGCAACAGCUUAAAACCCAAAGGACUUGGCGGUGCUUUAGACCCAUCUAGAGGAGCCUGUUCUAUAACCGAUUACCCCCGUUUAACCUCACCUUUCCUAGUCAACCCCGCCUAUAUACCGCCGUCGCCAGCUUACCCUGUGAAGGCCCCCUAGUAAGCUUAAUUGGUACAACCCAAAACGUCAGGUCGAGGUGUAGCGUAUGGAAGGGGAAGAAAUGGGCUACAUUCCCUAUCACAGCGAAUCACGAAUAAUAAUACUGAAACGUGUAUCUAGAAGGAGGAUUUAGCAGUAAGCAGAAAGCAGAGCGUUCCGCUGAAACUGGCCCUGAAGCGCGCACACAC
rnacentral:rRNA from 1 species